UUAAUUGAAGAGUUUGAUCAUGGCUCAGAUUGAACGCUGGCGGCAGGCCUAACACAUGCAAGUCGAGCGGUAACAGAAAGUAGCUUGCUACUUUGCUGACGAGCGGCGGACGGGUGAGUAAUGCUUGGGAACAUGCCUUGAGGUGGGGGACAACAGUUGGAAACGACUGCUAAUACCGCAUAAUGUCUACGGACCAAAGGGGGCUUCGGCUCUCGCCUUUAGAUUGGCCCAAGUGGGAUUAGCUAGUUGGUGAGGUAAUGGCUCACCAAGGCAACGAUCCCUAGCUGGUUUGAGAGGAUGAUCAGCCACACUGGGACUGAGACACGGCCCAGACUCCUACGGGAGGCAGCAGUGGGGAAUAUUGCACAAUGGGCGCAAGCCUGAUGCAGCCAUGCCGCGUGUGUGAAGAAGGCCUUCGGGUUGUAAAGCACUUUCAGUCAGGAGGAAAGGUUAGUAGUUAAUACCUGCUAGCUGUGACGUUACUGACAGAAGAAGCACCGGCUAACUCCGUGCCAGCAGCCGCGGUAAUACGGAGGGUGCGAGCGUUAAUCGGAAUUACUGGGCG
rnacentral:rRNA from 1 species